rnacentral:lncRNA from 1 species
UGACUCUAUGUCUCCCUAUCUGAAUCUUUAUCUUUCUCAUUUCAUUCUGAAUUGUUUUCCUUUUUUUCUCAGUUUCUUCAUUCUGGGAUGAUUUCAUGAUGCCCAACAGUCAUAAUGAGCGGUGUUCUUUAAAGUCUCUGCCAAUGAUCUCCUGAGAUUUGGUGACUAAUACUAGCUCAGCAUUUCCUAGAAGAUCAAUUGGGACAUCCUUUCAACUGUCAGAAAUGAUAUUCAACUGCUUUGUAAGCAAGACCUUUUGUGUGGCCACAUUGGACUAUUCUUUUUGGGUGGCAGUCCCAAAAGAACCUGAAUUAUGUCCCAUCUCUCCAUGUCUACUUCUUUCUCUGCUUGUUUGGCUCUUUCUCUAAAGAGUGAAGGAAAUUAUACUGUUGGCUAUGACUUUGUGUGCUUCAAAACAUCAGGAGAAUCAGAUGAAGAAAGCAUCUUCAGCACCCAGCUCAUCUUCAGCUUAGAAGACUCAUGGGAAGGAAGAGGAGGAGGAGAAGUAGGAGGAGAGUGAAAACAAGAACAAGAUGAACAAGAACAAGCAGAAGAACCAGAACAACAAGAACAAAGAGGAGGAGGAUGGAGAAUAUGUGACAAAACUCAGAGUAAUGAUGGAAAAUGAUUCAUUCUAGACAUCCAUUAAAAUGUGGAAAUCUAUAUGCAUAUUUGAUAAAUACCAUUACCUCAAAUGAGCUAUUUUUACAAAAGGCAAUAUCCU